AGUUAACAUCUCCUAGCCACCGUGGGGCGGUAACGCCGCCCGGCCGGUAGCGCUUUCGUCGCUUGCUGCAGAGGGGGUCGCUGUUCGAUGCAGGCAGGGGGCACAGCGAACCCCCCCCCCCCCCCCGCGGUUAAUACUGCGCGUGACACGAACUCAAACUAAAGUAUAUACCAGGACGCGUCCCGUUCCGCUUCACAGGUGGACGUUAAAGAUCGCGUGAUCUUGUUUUUGAAAAUGGCAGUGGGCUGCCUCCCCCUCCUCCCCCCCACGUUGUGUUACCGUGCCAGAGUCGUUGGGUCUACUUUUGCCAAAUUUAAAAAGCAAUCACAAACGCAACAACUUACUCGAUUUUGUAACGACAAAGAUUCCCCCCGUUAUGUAUCCACGGGGACAUUUUUUUGCCGCUAUCAAAUUUUAUGGCAAAAUAAGAGCAGGGUUUUAAGCCUUUCUGCCAAUUAAACAGGUGUCAAGACGUUCAAACACCAAAAUAGCUGCCUCACCACCCUCCCCCCCCCCACUUUUUUGUCGUUUCUUUGCGAGGCAUCGAGCCUCCGUGCUGAGCCCGUAACAGACCGUCUGGCUCGCGUCGCCUUCCUCCCUCGAGCAGCACCAACCGACGGCCGCCACGGCGCACGAGUGUCCGAGCGGCCGAGCAGCGGCAAACGAAACCCCACGCGCGCCCAAGCCGCCGCUCGUCUCCCAGUAGUAGCAGCAGCAGCGUUCUUCUGUAUCUUGACGACAUUCUGGCCUGGGAUGGUGACAGCAGCAGCAGCAGCGUUCUUCUGUAUCUUGACGACAUUCUGGCCUGGGAUGGUGACAGCAGCAGCAGCAGCGAUCCCAGAGGGGAGAUCGAGACUCGAGGUGGGGGCGAAGUUCUUCGGCAGGUUCGAGCCUGCUCGGCUGCCCAGAUUUGGCGCGUCGGGGACUCUUUGAUCGGUGCACGGGACAAUGUCUGCACGGCGUGGAUACCGUGCAGGCGAGACCGCGCGUGGUUAUGCAGGCCCUGCUGCGUUAGAGAUGGACAUUCUACAUUCCUAUGGCGCGGGCGAGUCUGUCCCAAGCGGUACAUCCACUGUUGAAGUAUUCACAAAGUGGUUAUUUGGUUUGAUCGACUCCGCAGGGAUCAUGUGGUGAGUCGACCCCCUCUGCCCACUCCCUCACCCCCUCCCCCGUCCGAUUGCGAGCCACUCUCUCCCGCUGAGCCACAUGGCUUGUUAUAUAUUUAUAAAUGCGUAUAUUAACAUAUAAACACUUAAUAAUAACUUGCAGCUUGCCGUCAAUCCAAAGAUGUCAUAAAUAUAUAUAACACUCCUCUACAAUGUCGUGUCCGCCAUGGGGGUAUGGUUGACCAUACUUCACCACUCUGGUCAGCGUGGGUUGAUGAAGGAAGGGAGCUAAGGGUAGGCGCCCAGGACAGGUUCAGAUUUGACUCGCCACUGAUGACCUGGAAAUCAAAUUAAGUAUUCCGUUUGAAAUCAUCAUCGGUCAAACAUCGCAAUAAUACAGCUCGCUCCUUAAAAACUAAAUCGUAACACUUAGUAAAGCUUUCCUGGAUUUUUUUUUUCAUUAUUGACAUUAUCACUCGCUUUCUGACACAGAGGUUUGCGGUUCAAUUCCCGUGGCUAACCUUGGCUAAUGCUGCGGUGUAAGAGCAAAAGAUAUCCCCAGAAUGCAAUGUGCCAGUAACAUUUAAACAUUUGCUUUCAACUUUAAUGAGCUAAUAUAGUUCGUAAUACCUUGUGAUUAUUUGCGUAGGCCUGUCUGUUGCUCAGUCGCUAUCAUUCUGGAACUAUGCAUAUGCCAAAUUAAAAAUUUGGUCAUCAAAUAAAAAAUAUAUAAUUCUCACGAAGCACCAUUGUAUGAACAAGUGCGAUCUCUAUCUCUCUUUUGGCCUCUUUAUGGAUGUGCUGUGAAAAAAGGCAAGUGCCCAAAACGUCGCCUAAUUAUGUCAUAUUUUCUUUGAAGGCCACACAGACACAGAGUGUUAUGGACGAAUGCGGGUGUUUGUUGUUGUUACAUUUUCAGUGCUGUUGCUGCUGGCGGCAAAUAAAAGUUGUUUAAAAGUUAAAA